rnacentral:rRNA from 1 species
UAACCUGCCCAAGAGAUCGGGAUAACACCUGGAAACAGAUGCUAAUACCGGAUAACAACAGAUGAUGCCUAUCAACUGUUUAAAAGAUGGUUCUGCUAUCACUCUUGGAUGGACCUGCGGUGCAUUAGCUAGUUGGUGGGGUAACGGCCUACCAAGGCGAUGAUGCAUAGCCGAGUUGAGAGACUGAUCGGCCACAUUGGGACUGAGACACGGCCCAAACUCCUACGGGAGGCAGCAGGC